GCUGUAACUCAGUGGUGGAGUACAUUGCCCUGUACACAGAAGGUUCCAAGUUCAAUCCUUGGCUUCUCCA